ACGUAGGGCGCAAGCGUUGUCCGGAAUUAUUGGGCGUAAAGAGCUCGUAGGCGGCUUGUCACGUCGGGUGUGAAAGCCCGGGGCUUAACCCCGGGUCUGCAUUCGAUACGGGCUAGCUAGAGUGUGGUAGGGGAGAUCGGAAUUCCUGGUGUAGCGGUGAAAUGCGCAGAUAUCAGGAAGAACACCCGUGGCGAAGGCGGCCCACUGGGCCGGUACUGACGCUGAGGCGCGAAGGCGUGGGGAGCGAACGGGA
rnacentral:rRNA from 1 species